GCGGGUGUAGCUUAAUGGUAAAGCCGUUGCUUCCCAAGCAACUGACGUGGGUUCGAUUCCCAUCACCCGCUCCA
rnacentral:tRNA from 1 species